rnacentral:rRNA from 1 species
AUUGAACGCUGGCGGCAUGCCUUACACAUGCAAGUCGAACGGUAACGGGCCUUCGGGUGCCGACGAGUGGCGAACGGGUGAGUAAUGUAUCGGAACGUACCUUUCAGUGGGGGAUAACGUAGCGAAAGUUACGCUAAUACCGCAUAUUCUGUGAGCAGGAAAGCAGGGGAUCGCAAGACCUUGCGCUGAUUGAGCGGCCGAUAUCAGAUUAGCUAGUUGGUGAGGUAAAAGCUCACCAAGGCGACGAUCUGUAGCGGGUCUGAGAGGAUGAUCCGCCACACUGGAACGGAGACACGGGCAAGACUCCUACGGGAGGCAGCAGUGGGGAAUUUUGGACAAUGGGGGCAACCCUGAUCCAGCCAUGCCGCGUGGGUGAAGAAGGCCUUCGGGUUGUAAAGCUCUGUCGGCCGGGAAGAAAUCGUAUCAGCUAAUACCUGGUGCGGAUGACGGUACCGGCAUAAGAAGCACCGGCUAACUACGUGCCAGCCGCCGCUGUAACAC